rnacentral:rRNA from 1 species
GAUGAACGCUGGCGGCGUGCCUAAUACAUGCAAGUCGAGCGAACGGACGAGAAGCUUGCUUUUCUGAUGUUAGCGGCGGACGGGUGAGUAACACGUGGAUAACCUACCUAUAAGUCUGGGAUAACUUCGGGAAACCGGAGCUAAUACCGGAUAAUAUUUUGAACCGCAUGGUUCAAAAGUGAAAGACGGUCUUGCUGUCUCUAAUAGAUGGAUCCGCGCUGCAUUAGCUAGUUGGUAAGGUAACGGCCUACCAAGGCGACGAUGCAUAGCCGACCUGAGAGGGUGAUCGGCCACACUGGAACUGAGACACGGUCCAGACUCCUACGGGAGGCAGCAGUAGGGAAUCUUCGGCAAUGGGCGAAAGCCUGACGGAGCAACGCCGCGUGAGUGAUGAAGGUCUUCGGAUCGUAAAGCUCUGUUAUUAGGGAAGAACAGAUGUGGAAUUAACUGUGCACAUCUUGACGGUACCUAAUCAGAAAGCCACGGCUAACUACGUG